AAGCUUGCUGUUCCAGAAUUAAAACCCCUGAAAUCCGACUCUAAAGUUUGUGUUUUAGCCCUACACUAUGCAAACACCCAACAGCAUUAUUCUACCAUCACAUGUGGUGAUUUCAGCAGGAAGCAGAUGUUUCUCAGAAGUUUGUCUUCAUUCAUAAAUAGAACCUAAGACCUCUAAAUUAUCACUGGAGAAGAGAAUAUCCUCAUGAAGACAGACAUGUGUACCCUGGAGACAUAAUAAUUUUCCCUGAAAUUUAUGUUUAUCCUGUUAUUGUUAUGCUACUGGCAGCAACAUUCUGACCACUUCUACCCAACAAACUGCCCUUUUAAUGUAGAUCAAAAUACGAACAGCUUCCUUCUCUUCUUUCCUCUUUGACUAUGUUUAAAAACACUUGAUUGUUUU
rnacentral:lncRNA from 1 species